CACGUAGGGUGCGAGCGUUGUCCGGAAUUAUUGGGCGUAAAGAGCUCGUAGGCGGUGUGUCGCGUCGGCCGUGAAAACCUGCAGCUUAACUGUGGGCUUGCGGUCGAUACGGGCAUCACUGGAGUUCGGCAGGGGAGACUGGAAUUCCUGGUGUAGCGGUGGAAUGCGCAGAUAUCAGGAGGAACACCGGUGGCGAAGGCGGGUCUCUGGGCAGUAACUGACGCUGGAGGAGCGAAAAGCGUGGGGAGCGAACAGG
rnacentral:rRNA from 1 species